rnacentral:lncRNA from 1 species
AAAAACUCCCCCUUUAGAAUCAUUUGGACACAUGCAAUAGCAUCACAAUCACGUUGCGUAUAAGACACUACCAGAAAAUUGGCUAUGACGCCACUUGUACUAUUUAGCCAUAGAAACAUUCAAAAAUUAUUUUAACAUCAAAUGAGAACGAAUAGGCUACAAAAUAAAUUUUGUUUAUGUGUCUAAUUAUAUUUGCCUAAGUUACUCUUGCAGUGCAUAUUAGAGCGCGGUUAGUAUUUGUACCCCUAUGCUUUUUAUUACAAUCUUGUUGUAAAAAUCUCCCUUCCAAGUGUAUCAAGUAACUUUUUAAUUUGAUUCUUCCAUUCGUAUACUAUGCAAUUAAAAAUACUGAGUUAAAAAAUUAGCACCGUUUAACAAUAUAUAUUUAAAAAAUACCAUCAUUUGAAUAAUAUGACCUUUUAAAAAUAUGACUAUUUUAAAAAUAUAUAUUUAACAAAUUACCAUUGUUAAUAAUGUGACUAUUUAAAAAACAUAAGGUUAAAAAAACUUGAAUAAUAAUUACAUUAAAUAGUACAAAAAUAAUAGUGAUAGAAUAGAAUGAGAAUAGAGACAGGACUGAUGAAUUAGUGUUAAAAAAUAACUAACCAAAUAAAAAUUUAUGAUUUUUAAGUAGAAAUUAGCCUUAAAGUUAGUUAGGCUAUGUGAUGAUUCUCCAAGAUAACAAAUAUAUUUUGGCAGGUCUGCAAGUACGCCCUAUGUAUAUCAAUACAAUAUUAAGUUCAGUUUGUGAUAAAUGUUACACACGUCUUAUUAUAAAUGUUAUAUCGUGGGUGAAUUUUACGAGGGUGUUGUAUGUUAAGAAUAGAAAAAAUAUGUUAUGCAAUCAUUGUGGUAAAUAAAAAUUGUAGUUUUUUCUGUUACGUUUGUGAUAAAUAUUAUUAUCAUUUGUGAUAAUGUUAUACAUGUCUACACUAUAUCAUUAUUUUUUUUGGUGUGUACUUUAACCACUCCCAUAUAUUUUUGGUGUUACAUUUUGCUAGAAUCUUGCUCCAAUUAGUAGGGAACCUGGCUAGUGUAAGCAAGAUGCUUCACCCACUGCCCCUACACAUAUUCCCUCCCUCCCUCCCUCCUCUCUCUCUCUCUCUCUCUCUCUCUCCUCACGUCACUCACUCACUCACUCCACUGCCACCCACACAACACGCAAACACGACAAUUGCCAUCUAAUUCCUAUGCUUUUGAUCACCAUGGGAUUUGAUUCCUACCACCUCCCUCCAACUCCCCAACUCGCCCUUUUUUUUUUUUUUUCCCCCAAGUGUCAAAAUUCAAAAAAACAUUAUGGAAGGAUAUUUUUUAUGGCACCAUUUGGCAACAAAUCCACCUUUUAGUCCCUUUUCCAUGUUCAAUAAAAGAUCGAAUCGUGCAAUAGCACGACAUGGAAACAUCUUUUUUUAACCAAAAAAAAAACAAAAAAACAAAUUUAAACUAGCCACCUAGAUCUAUGCAAUUUCCCCCCUCCAACCGGGAUCCGCCGGCAGGAAUGGUUUUCUUCCCCAAUUUUUGCCCCUGUACCCUGAAAGUGAUAUCGGUCAAGCAUAGAUGAAAUCUCCUGACCAAUGUUGGGUGUGGGAACAAUAUUAGUCUCUCGCUGCCUCACAUUGCUAGCCCUAAUUCUGCAUUUAUUGGAUGCUAAUAAAGGUCUACAACAACCGUAUAGUUAAUUCAACUCUUGUACCAACGGAAGGUAUUUUACGUUUAUUUAAGUUCUUAAAAAUGGAUAUAGAUAAAAAUAUCGAUAGUGAUCAAUAUAAUAAUCAAAGGGUAACAGUAUAGUCUUAAAAAUAGGUCAACAUGUUUUCGUAAUUGGAAUUUGGAAUUUGUUGUUUGGUACCUUGAUAAAUAGAGAGAGACACAAGGUGGGACACAGAUGACUGACAAAGGACAAUGAAUAAGUGGCGGUCCAUGGCGCUGGCGGGUCGCGCCACUAGGACCGACAUAAAGCAAGGAUUCUGUUCUCGAUUCAGGAAUGUAGUAGACCAAAACUACGUCAAGACAGUAUAUUUUGCGAGAAAGGGGAAGAUUACCAUUAGGUCGACAUCGCAGAGGAAUAUGUCAACUAAAACCCACUAUAGUAAUCAUUCGUAAUGCAACCGCAUGUAAAGAGGGUUAUAUUCCUUGCGACGAACUUCAUGCACGGGUUGGCAUUUCAAAUGUGUGGAGAGCUAUGGAGGGGCAUGGAAUUAAGGAAAUAAAUUUAUAUUAAUUACUAUUUUGUCUCUUCAACAAAGGGUUGCUGGGCCCCAAAUUGAAAUUAUAAAGGAAGUGUAACCAAUUAUACAUUUACCCUUCAAACAAAUGAAAGGACUGUCAAAGAUUGGUUCUAAAUCGUUUCCAACUUCUCUAAUAUUUUGAGGGCAUUAGAAGUGAUGGACUGAACGGAAGGUGGAUCCUUGAUCACUAUCAAAGCUGAAUUAUAUUUCCAAAUCAGUAGGACUUCAUCUCGGCACCAAUUCCACAUCAUCUAAGAUUUCCACCAUUUAUCAAAGAUCGAAGAAAAUGAAGAAUUCUAACAAUUUUUCUUUAAAAUGGAUAAAAUUUAUAAGCUAGUCCAAACACCUAAGUAUGAUUUCUCCAUAAAAUAGAUUAACGUUGGAUUUAGAUUAAGGAUUUAGGGUAGGAUUUGCAGACAAAAAAGAAGAGAAAAAAAAGAAAUUUAUUCUGUCAGAUUCAUUAAUUUUUUCUUCCACCAAAUCCUUAAUCCAAACACAACCGAAUAAUAGUAAUAAGAUUAUCGUUUUACUUAAGAUUAUGAAUUAUCCAACCUAGUCUUAGGUUAAUCAUUAAUGGAUAGCAAAUGUGAAGUGCCCCAACGCAGUAGAAAAAGGAAAAGAAAAAAAAAAAAAAAAAAAAAAAAAAAAAAAAAAAAAAAAAGAAGAAUGAGGAGGAAAAUAAAAGAAAAAAAAAAAAAAAAAAAAAAAAAAAAAAAAAAAAAGAAAAAAAAAAAAAAAAAAAAAAAAAAAAAAAAAAAAAAAAAAAAAAAAAAAAAAAAAAAAAAAAAAAAAAAAAAAAAAAACAACUCGUAAAAAAUUGUCAUCCAUUAAAAAUCGAUGACCAUCCAGAAAAGAUGGGCUCACCUAACUCCUUUCAUAAUUUUGUAGGGCUUCUUGGAAUUAAAUCAUCCAUGCAAAAAAAAAAGAUUAAUCGGCGUAGUCGCACGAUCCGUCUUUAUUUUAAAAAACCGAACCAUAGGUUUCUAUAUUUUUCUGAAGAACUAUAAAUCAAUGUAUUAAUCGUUGACUACUGAUAUCCGAUAGACUUGAUUUUUUGCAUAGGUUGUAUCUUUAACGACUCAACAGAGUAACAGUUUAAUCAGUGAAUCCCAAUAGUUAAUAUCCAUCAAAGGGGCACUACAGAAUACUAUGAGACCUUAAAUCCAAUGGGUUAACUAUUUUGUCCAUUUAACAAAGAUGGGGCAAGGAUAAAUAACAAAAACAAAUAAUUGAAGUUAAACAAAUAUAAUGUUUCCCUUCAAACAAUUGAAAAGGGGCUAGCUAAAUUGAGUUUGUAUUUGUUUUCACCUUUCCUAAUCACCUUUGUGUUCAGUUUCGAUUACAAUUACUUUAAAAACAGUUUAAUUUUGUGCCUUUCUGAUGGCUUUUCUUAGUUAAACAACACCAAAAGUUGUGAAUUGGAAACCCCAUCACCAACAGUUUACAUUUGUGGGUUAAUGUAGGACUUUUCUGCCUUGUUGGGAAAGAUAUGGGUAAUAGUAAAUUAAUUAAUUUAUCUGAUCUUUUUGGUAGGUUGGGGGCGGUGAGAAUGUUUGCUGCCUUGUUUUGUAUAUCUGUUUUAACAUAUAUUGUAUCCUCUUUUCUUUUUUGGUUAGGAAUAUAUUUAUACUCAAUAGAGCAUUAAUUGAUAUGACGCUCCAAUUCAGCACUGUUAACUGACUCAUAAUUUAGGAAAAAUUUCAAAAUCAAAAUGAAUAUUUCACAUUCACUUGGCUAUAUGCGAUUCCUACGCUCAACUGAGCUGCUCAGUGAUCUGAACCCAAGUAUUUUGAAUUUUAAAUUUUUAUUCUCCUCUAAAUUCUGAAAAGUAGGGCUCUUUAUGUCAUUCUCCAAUUAAGUUUUACAGACAAAUUUUACUUUGCCCCCUGUUGUUUGGGCCUUUGCGUGAAUUACUUCUUUGGCAUUUAAAAAAUCAUCACACAAACUCCUUGAGAAAAAAAACUCCAUGUUAUUUGUUGGCUAAAGUGCAUUGUCUUAUUACUUGUCCAUGAAGAAGAGAUCGAAUGAACCUUGUUUUAAAGACAAAACCAUUCUCAUAAAAUUUUUAAAUUUUUAAAAGAGCAUCAUUGUCAUAUUUUCUUUCUCCCUUCACUAUUUCUCUUCUAAUAUCUUCACCACCGCUUUUCCUCCUCCUUGCAUAUCAGCGCCCCCAGCAAUAUACUUGUUCAAUACGCGUGGUGUUUCUCUGUGUAAUAAUGAGGACGAUGCGAGUAUUAAUGCCAUUUACGACGACAUUUUUAAUUCACAAACCACGUAAAUUAUGUGAUUAUUUUUAUAUAUUAAAGUGGUCGGGAUAGUCUGCCCUUGACCAAAUCUAAAGGAGCAGAUACAUGGUGAUCCUAGUUGUUUAGAAAAAAAUAAAGAAAUAAAAACAUCAUAUCCUAUAACAGUACUGGAUAUUAAAUAAUUAGUUCUUGCUUAGAUUCCAACAAACAAGAGACAGUAAAGCCAUCACUUGUGAAUCAAUAUGGAUUACAACAAACUUUUUAUAAAGUACCAUUAUUUUAUAAAAGAUAUCCCCACCCAGAUCCCUCCUUUUUCAAGUGCUAAAUAGUGAAAUGAACAUAAAAGAAACAUAUGUGAUCUAAAUACUCUGUCUCCUUUCAAAGUUUUUCUUCUUUGGAAUAUGAAAAAGAAUGAAAUGUAAUUGCAAACUUUUGAGGAUAUUCUUACUUAUUAUGGUGAGAAUCGAGUGUCGAUGGUUAUCUUAAAAGCAUCAAAUCGGGCACUAAACAUGCGCAUAUUAUUGUA